rnacentral:rRNA from 1 species
GGGCGUUAAGUUGCAGGGUAUAGACCCGAAACCCGGUGAUCUAGCCAUGGGCAGGUUGAAGGUUGGGUAACACUAACUGGAGGACCGAACCGACUAAUGUUGAAAAAUUAGCGGAUGACUUGUGGCUGGGGGUGAAAGGCCAAUCAAACCGGGAGAUAGCUGGUUCUCCCCGAAAGCUAUUUAGGUAGCGCCUCGUGAAUUCAUCUCCGGGGGUAGAGCACUGUUUCGGCAAGGGGGUCAUCCCGACUUACCAACCCGAUGCAAACUGCGAAUACCGGAGAAUGUUAUCACGGGAGACACACGGCGGGUGCUAACGUCCGUCGUGAAGAGGGAAACAACCCAGACCGCCAGCUAAGGUCCCAAAGUCAUGGUUAAGUGGGAAACGAUGUGGGAAGGCCCAGACAGCCAGGAUGUUGGCUUAGAAGCAGCCAUCAUUUAAAGAAAGCGUAAUAGCUCACUGGUCGAGUCGGCCUGCGCGGAAGAUGUAACGGGGCUAAACCAUGCACCGAAGCUGCGGCAGCGACACUGUGUGUUGUUGGGUAGGGGAGCGUUCUGUAAGCCUGUGAAGGUGUGCUGUGAGGCAUGCUGGAGGUAUCAGAAGUGCGAAUGCUGACAUAAGUAACGAUAAAGCGGGUGAAAAGCCCGCUCGCCGGAAGACCAAGGGUUCCUGUCCAACGUUAAUCGGGGCAGGGUGAGUCGACCCCUAAGGCGAGGCCGAAAGGCGUAGUCGAUGGGAAACAGGUUAAUAUUCCUGUACUUGGUGUUACUGCGAAGGGGGGACGGAGAAGGCUAUGUUGGCCGGGCGACGGUUGUCCCGGUUUAAGCGUGUAGGCUGGUUUUCCAGGCAAAUCCGGAAAAUCAAGGCUGAGGCGUGAUGACGAGGCACUACGGUGCUGAAGCAACAAAUGCCCUGCUUCCAGGAAAAGCCUCUAAGCAUCAGGUAACAUCAAAUCGUACCCCAAACCGACACAGGUGGUCAGGUAGAGAAUACCAAGGCGCUUGAGAGAACUCGGGUGAAGGAACUAGGCAAAAUGGUGCCGUAACUUCGGGAGAAGGCACGCUGAUAUGUAGGUGAAGUCCCUCGCGGAUGGAGCUGAAAUCAGUCGAAGAUACCAGCUGGCUGCAACUGUUUAUUAAAAACACAGCACUGUGCAAACACGAAAGUGGACGUAUACGGUGUGACGCCUGCCCGGUGCCGGAAGGUUAAUUGAUGGGGUCAGCGCAAGCGAAGCUCUUGAUCGAAGCCCCGGUAAACGGCGGCCGUAACUAUAACGGUCCUAAGGUAGCGAAAUUCCUUGUCGGGUAAGUUCCGACCUGCACGAAUGGCGUAAUGAUGGCCAGGCUGUCUCCACCCGAGACUCAGUGAAAUUGAACUCGCUGUGAAGAUGCAGUGUACCCGCGGCAAGACGGAAAGACCCCGUGAACCUUUACUAUAGCUUGACACUGAACAUUGAGCCUUGAUGUGUAGGAUAGGUGGGAGGCUUUGAAGUGUGGACGCCAGUCUGCAUGGAGCCGACCUUGAAAUACCACCCUUUAAUGUUUGAUGUUCUAACGUGGACCCGUGAUCCGGGUUGCGGACAGUGUCUGGUGGGUAGUUUGACUGGGGCGGUCUCCUCCUAAAGAGUAACGGAGGAGCACGAAGGUUGGCUAAUCCUGGUCGGACAUCAGGAGGUUAGUGCAAUGGCAUAAGCCAGCUUGACUGCGAGCGUGACGGCGCGAGCAGGUGCGAAAGCAGGUCAUAGUGAUCCGGUGGUUCUGAAUGGAAGGGCCAUCGCUCAACGGAUAAAAGGUACUCCGGGGAUAACAGGCUGAUACCGCCCAAGAGUUCAUAUCGACGGCGGUGUUUGGCACCUCGAUGUCGGCUCAUCACAUCCUGGGGCUGAAGUAGGUCCCAAGGGUAUGGCUGUUCGCCAUUUAAAGUGGUACGCGAGCUGGGUUUAGAACGUCGUGAGACAGUUCGGUCCCUAUCUGCCGUGGGCGCUGGAGAACUGAGGGGGGCUGCUCCUAGUACGAGAGGACCGGAGUGGACGCAUCACUGGUGUUCGGGUUGUCAUGCCAAUGGCACUGCCCGGUAGCUAAAUGCGGAAGAGAUAAGUGCUGAAAGCAUCUAAGCACGAAACUUGCCCCGAGAUGAGUUCUCCCUGACCCUUUAAGGGUCCUGAAGGAACGUUGAAGACGACGACGUUGAUAGGCCGGGUGUGUAAGCGCAGCGAUGCGUUGAGCUAACCGGUACUAAUGAACCGUGAGGCUUAACCUU